rnacentral:rRNA from 1 species
ACGCUGGCGGCAGGCCUAACACAUGCAAGUCGAGCGGAUGAAGGGAGCUUGCUCCUGGAUUCAGCGGCGGACGGGUGAGUAAUGCCUAGGAAUCUGCCUGGUAGUGGGGGAUAACGUCCGGAAACGGGCGCUAAUACCGCAUACGUCCUGAGGGAGAAAGUGGGGGAUCUUCGGACCUCACGCUAUCAGAUGAGCCUAGGUCGGAUUAGCUAGUUGGUGGGGUAAAGGCCUACCAAGGCGACGAUCCGUAACUGGUCUGAGAGGAUGAUCAGUCACACUGGAACUGAGACACGGUCCAGACUCCUACGGGAGGCAGCAGUGGGGAAUAUUGGACAAUGGGCGAAAGCCUGAUCCAGCCAUGCCGCGUGUGUGAAGAAGGUCUUCGGAUUGUAAAGCACUUUAAGUUGGGAGGAAGGGCAGUAAGUUAAUACCUUGCUGUUUUGACGUUACCAACAGAAUAAGCACCGGCUAACUUCGUGCCAGCAGCCGCGGUAAUACGAAGGGUGCAAGCGUUAAUCGGAAUUACUGGGCGUAAAGCGCGCGUAGGUGGUUCAGCAAGUUGGAUGUGAAAUCCCCGGGCUCAACCUGGGAACUGCAUCCAAAACUACUGAGCUAGAGUACGGUAGAGGGUGGUGGAAUUCCUGUGUAGCGGUGAAAUGCGUAGAUAUAGGAAGGAACACCAGUGGCGAAGGCGGCCACCCUGGACUGAUACUGACACUGAGGUGCGAAAAGCGUGGGGAGCAAACAGGAUUAGAUACCCCUGGUAGUCCACGCCGUAAACGAUGUCGACCUAGCCGUUGGGAUCCUUGAGAUCUUAGUGGCGCAGCUAACGCGAUAAGUCGACCGCCUGGGGAGUACGGCCGCAAGGUUAAAACUCAAAUGAAUUGACGGGGGCCCGCACAAGCGGUGGAGCAUGUGGUUUAAUUCGAAGCAACGCGAAGAACCUUACCUGGCCUUGACAUGCUGAGAACUUUCCAGAGAUGGAUUGGUGCCUUCGGGAACUCAGACACAGGUGCUGCAUGGCUGUCGUCAGCUCGUGUCGUGAGAUGUUGGGUUAAGUCCCGUAACGAGCGCAACCCUUGUCCUUAGUUACCAGCACCUCGGGUGGGCACUCUAAGGAGACUGCCGGUGACAAACCGGAGGAAGGUGGGGAUGACGUCAAGUCAUCAUGGCCCUUACGGCCAGGGCUACACACGUGCUACAAUGGUCGGUACAAAGGGUUGCCAAGCCGCGAGGUGGAGCUAAUCCCAUAAAACCGAUCGUAGUCCGGAUCGCAGUCUGCAACUCGACUGCGUGAAGUCGGAAUCGCUAGUAAUCGUGAAUCAGAAUGUCACGGUGAAUACGUUCCCGGGCCUUGUACACACCGCCCGUCACACCAUGGGAGUGGGUUGCUCCAGAAGUAGCUAGUCUAACCGCAAGGGGGACGGUUACCACGGAGUGAUUCAUGACU